AAGUCGUAACAAGGUUUCCGUAGGUGAACCUGCGGAAGGAUCAUUAACACUUUUAAUUCAGGGUCUGGUUUUCUUUCAGAAAAACCGACCUAAUCCAAACCAAAUUACCCAAAACUUUACAAAAAAGUGCUGGUGUUUUGCAAUUCAUUUUGCAAAACCAUUUUUUCUCUAUUUUCUUUUCAAAAAAAAACCCCAAAUCUUUUCAUUGCAAAUGCAAUUGACAAAUCUUAAACCUUUUAUAAAAAAACUACUAAUGUAACCAAACAACUCUUAGCAACGGAUAUCUUGGCUCUC
rnacentral:misc_RNA from 1 species